UGCAGCAUCACUUCACUAAAUUUUCCUUUGUCUUCUUUUCAGUAAUGGAAGUUGUAUGUUUAGCAGUUGCAUUAUCCUAUGCCUCCUGAUCGGCCUCGGUUCCUUCUUGCUGAAUAUUUUUUGUCUGGUUAUUGUGUAUGUGAAAUUAAAUAAAAAAAUAGGUGCCCAUAAAUGCCACACUGAUGUGAAGGAAACUGUACCCAGCCACAGCUCUAAUAUACGUGAACCAGUUAGAGUGGGAACACCCAUCUUGGCUGUACAGAACGAGGGUGAUAGUGAUACUUCCUCUGAGAGCUCAGAAAGUACAUCUCAAUCAUCAUCACCCAGCCAG